CCCGAUGAUGGGAACAGGGUAGCUGCCGAGCUGAUGAGGAAGCCGUUCCAGACUGAGG
rfam:Pyrococcus furiosus DSM 3638, complete genome.